CUUUUUGUUCUGUGCCUUUUCUAAUAGAGGUACAAAUGCCCAGAUCUUGCCUAAACUUGGAGCCAGGAGACAGCUGGAUGUGCAAUUUGAUCUGAGUAUGUGGAGAACCACCAGCUACAUAUGACCUGGGAGACCUAAGAAAAAGGACUAGAUAUCCUCUUGUCUUCUGUUCUACCUCCAGGAAUCACAGUAACAAGGUUUCCAUGAGGCCAAAUGGAAAGUAAAUGUUGAUCUCAACUUCCAGAACUGCUGCAGGACUCUUACUACAAGAAAAUGCCAAAACUGACUGUGCCUUUAAAUAUGUCCAGUGAGGGAGACUUCAUAGGCUUCACAAAUGAUCUGGUCCAGCACUUUUCAACACAUUCUUAAUGUCCUGCAUUUGGUGAGCUUUUCAUGGCCCUGUUCUGGCUUCUCUGCUAUUGUUUGGAUUUUGCUUUGUGUUCUUCUUGAAUGUAUCAUCCAAAACUGAAAAAACCCAAAACCAUAAUAAUGCAGAUUUUUUAUCUACAUCUUUUAAACUGUUCCUGUGUUCAUAUGUCCCAAUAUGCUUUUCUUCCAAUGUCAGGAGCUUGUUAACUCAUGAUCAACUGGUAAGCCAAGUCAUAGGUCAUACCCAUGGAGGCUUGUUGUGAGGCAGUUGAUGCUCAUCACACAAUUGUGCAAUUAAACAUUCUCAUUUGAA